rnacentral:rRNA from 1 species
GACGAACGCUGGCGGCGUGCUUAACACAUGCAAGUCGAGCGGUAAGGCCCUUCGGGGUACGACGAGCGGCGAACGGGUGAGUAACACGUGGGUGACCUGCCCUCCACUUCGGGAGUAAGCCUGGGAAACCGGGUCUAAUACCGGAUAGGACCUCUGGAUGCAUGUCUGGUGGUGGAUAGUCUGUGUCUUGACUGAUGCUGGCGGUGGGGGAUGGGCCCGCGGUCUAUCAGCNGUUGGUGGGGUGAUGGCCUACCAAGGCGACGACGGAUAGCCGGCCUGAGAGGGUGUCCGGCCACACUGGGACUGAGACACGGCCCAGACUCCUAC